GGGCCCGCACAAGCGGUGGAGCAUGUGGUUUAAUUCGAAGCAACGCGAAGAACCUUACCAGGUCUUGACAUACUCGUGCUAUUCCUAGAGAUAGAGCCUUCCCCUUCGGGGGACAAAGUGACAGGUGGUGCAUGGUUGUCGUCAGCUCGUGUCGUGAGAUGUUGGGUUAAGUCCCGCAACGAGCGCAACCCUUAAGCUUAGUUGCCAUCAUUAAGUUGGGCACUCUAAGUUGACUGCCGGUGACAAACCGGAGGAAGGUGGGG
rnacentral:rRNA from 1 species